ensembl:lncRNA
CAGAGGCAAAUGAUACAACAGGAUAAAUAAAUGUGCUCAGAAAUGUACGACGUUGUGCGCAAUAAGGAACGUGUCACCAUAGAAAUAGAAUCUACAUUAGAAUUCCGUGCUCGUCACAAUGUCCAAUUAACAUACAUUUGAAUUCCUAAUUCUAUGUGUAUUACUCAGAGGUGAAGUUAUUCACAAUCACAACCAACCUACAGAAUAUCAAUAGCAAACGCGAAUUCUUCAUUCAAGUCAAUCAAAAAUCGUAUAUGUUUUCCUGUUCUCAGUAAGAAAAUGCUCAAGAGGCAAUUCCGUACACUGAAAGCCCAGGGAAGACUCCCGCUAGACCUCCCUCUGAGACCAAUGAAGGCCUGGCUCCUGGCAGGGAAAAGAGUCUUCUUGGAGCGUGAGACAGAGACAUGGAAGAGAUGGAGGAAAGUCUGUGUAGCUGAAUUGACUUGGGAUGCAAAGAGGGGCCUGGAAUUACAGGAGACAGAGAGAGUUCUCCUGGUCAGUUGCCAGAGAGUUCAGGAUGAAUUAAGGAUGUCUGAUUUCACCGUGGACACGGCGCCCAACGAAGCCAUCCAGCUUCUGAAAGAGGAGUGUUGGAAGUUGAACUUCUUGCACCUAAAGGAUGAGACAUGCCAGGCCACUGAGCUCCCUGAGCUGUAUGGGCAUUCUGAGACCUCUUCAAAGGAAACUCUAAUUGAAGAGAAAAGUCCAAAGACCAAGUGCCCGUCCAGCGUCGCUGGGGCUGCUGACAUUGACAACACCAAUGAGGAGGAUUCAGAGGAGUCUCCGGAUAACAAUGUGGUGGACUUUCAGGAUGAGCCGCUGGCCCUGGUCAGUGUGGAGAAAGACGCUGCUGGAGAUGGAAAGGUCCUCAGCAAGGUGGUGAAGCCCAAAGGAUGUCUGAAGGAGAGCUGCAAAGAUCAGCUAACCCCAACAAUCUAUGAUAUGAUUACGGAACUACCAAAGUCCUAUUUCGGAUCCACUGAGAGCCUUCCUGAGAUGUGUAGCAGAGGUCCUGAGGUGUGCAGUGGAGUGCCUGGGGUGAGUAACAGAGGUCCAAAGGUGUGCAGUGGAGCGCCUGAGGUGCCAAAUGCAGUGGGAGAGGUGUCAAGUGACACAAAGAAGACAGAGGCAACUGGAGACCUUCUGAACACUGGAAACGGCCUGAGAAAGGUGGUGCAGCUAUCCACCGAGAGCCAUGCUGAGGUGUGCAAUGGAGAGGCUGAGCUGUGCAGUGGUCCUGAGGUGUGCAGCAGAGGUCCUGAGGUGUGCAGCGGAGGUCCUGAGGUGUGCAGCGGUGGUCCUGAGGUGUGCAGCGGAGGUCCUGAGGUGUGCAGCAGAGGUCCUGAGGUGUGCAGCAGAGGUCCUGAGGUGUGCAGCAGAGGUCCUGAGGUGUGCAGUGGAGGUCCUGAGGUGUGCAGCGGAGGUCCUGAGGUGUCAAACGCAGUGGAAGAGGUGUCCAGUGACACAAAGACUACAGAGGCUGCUGAAGACCUUCUGGACACUGGAAAUGUCCUCAGCAAGGUGGUGAACCCCAAAGGGUGGCUGAAGCAGGACUGGGAUGAUCAGCUGAACAGAGACGUCAAUGAUAUGAUUGCAAAUCUCCCAAAGCCCUAUUUCGGAUCCAUCGAGAGCCUUCCUGAGGUGUGCAGCAGAGGUCCUGAGGUGUCAAACGAAGUGGAAGAGGUGUGCAGUGACACAAUGAAGAUAGAGGCUACAGGAAAUCUUCUGAAAACUGGAAAUGGCCUAAGCAAGGUGGUGCUCCUAUCCACUGAGAGCCGUCCUGAUGUGUGCAUUAGAGUGCCUGAGGUGUUCAGUGGAGGCCCAGAGGUAUGCAGUGAAAUGCCUGAAGUGUACAGUGGAUGUCCUGAGGUGUUCAUUGGAGUCCCUGAGGUGUCAAACCCAGUGGAAGAGGUGUCCAGUGAUACAAAGACAGAGGCUGCUGAAGAACUUCGGGACACUGAAAAUGACCUCAGCAAGGUGGUGAAAUCCAAAGGGUGGCUGAAGGAGGGCUGGGAAGAUCAGCUGACCAAAGACUUCAAUGAUAUGAUUGCAAGACUCCCAAAGUCCUAUUUUGGAUCCAACGAGAGCCUUCCUGAGGUGUGCAGCGGAGUGCCCGAGGUGUCGAACGCAGUGGAAGUGGUGCGCAGUGACACAAAGAAGCAGAAGAAAAAUGGUGUUCUACGAUGUUUCCGACGUGUGUGGAAGUUCUUCACAUGCACCAGCAGCCUCCCCAAAGAGGAGUGACUCAAGCACACACAACUCUGGGCAACACUUUCUCCUCCAUCUCCCCCUUUCCUUCCAACUGGCUCCUUUUAAUAAUACAAAUAAAGGGGAUCUGAACCACAA